rnacentral:rRNA from 1 species
CAUGCAGUCGAGCGAAUGGAUUAAGAGCUUGCUCUUAUGAAGUUAGCGGCGGACGGGUGAGUAACACGUGGGUAACCUGCCCAUAAGACUGGGAUAACUCCGGGAAACCGGGGCUAAUACCGGAUAACAUUUUGAACCGCAUGGUUCGAAAUUGAAAGGCGGCUUCGGCUGUCACUUAUGGAUGGACCCGCGUCGCAUUAGCUAGUUGGUGAGGUAACGGCUCACCAAGGCAACGAUGCGUAGCCGACCUGAGAGGGUGAUCGGCCACACUGGGACUGAGACACGGCCCAGACUCAUACGGGAGGCAGCAGUAGGGAAUCUUCCGCAAUGGACGAAAGUCUGACGGAGCAACGCCGCGUGAGUGAUGAAGGCUUUCGGGUCGUAAAACUCUGUUGUUAGGGAAGAACAAGUGCUAGUUGAAUAAGCUGGCACCUUGACGGUACCUAACCAGAAAGCCACGGCUAACUACGUGCCAGCAGCCGCGGUAAUACGUAGGUGGCAAGCGUUAUCCGGAAUUAUUGGGCGUAAAGCGCGCGCAGGUGGUUUCUUAAGUCUGAUGUGAAAGCCCACGGCUCAACCGUGGAGGGUCAUUGGAAACUGGGAGACUUGAGUGCAGAAGAGGAAAGUGGAAUUCCAUGUGUAGCGGUGAAAUGCGUAGAGAUAUGGAGGAACACCAGUGGCGAAGGCGACUUUCUGGUCUGUAACUGACACUGAGGCGCGAAAAGCGUGGGAAGCAAACAGGAUUAGAUACCCUGGUAGUCCACGCCGUAAACGAUGAGUGCUAAGUGUUAGAGGUUUCCGCCCUUUAGUGCUGAAGUUAACGCAUUAAGCACUCCGCCUGGGGAGUACGG